ensembl:lncRNA
AAAGUACACCCUCGUUCAAUUCCAUAUUUUUAUUUAUCAGGGCCUAAAUAACAAUUGUGCGGUCCUCACCAACUUCAAUCAACAAGCAAAAAACAAAACAAAUUUCAACAUGUAGUCAUUUUCCAUUUAGUCAAAUAGAAACCAACAUUCUGAAACCAGGUGGGAAAAAAUAAGUAUACCCUUCCUAUGUCCAUAAAAUUAAGAGAGUUAUUAGUAGCCAGAUGUUUCCAGUGAAAUGCACAAGAUUAGUCAAUCAUCAAGAAGAGUGAGCAUAUUUAUAAAAGCAGAUUUGGCAGUUUGGUUUUCCUGGAGCUCUCAGGUGUGUUUCUAAAUCAUGCCAAGAGGAAAGGACAUCAGCCAUGACCUCAGAGAAGCAAUUAUUGCUACUCGUUAAUCUAGGAAGGGUUAUAAGGCCAUCUCCAAGCUAUUUGAAAUUCACCAUUCUACAGUGAGAAGGAUUGUUUACAAAUGGAGAGUUCAGUUCAGUGUUAUUUGUGUAGUGUGUUUAACAGUGGACAUUGUCCCAGAGCAGCGUUACAGAAAUAUAUACACUCAGGAUAUAGAUGUUAAAUGUAUGAAUUUAUCUCUAAUGAACAGCGAGAGGUGACGGUGGUGAGGAAAAACUCCCUGAGACGAUAUGAGGAAGAAACCUCGAGAGGAACCGGACUCAAAAGGAAGCUGUCCUCAAGUCUGUUGUGUUGAACUUCUCCACUGUUCACUGAUGGAGACUCGAGUGCAGAACUGUUUGUGGUAAUUGAAGUGCUAAAGCUAUCAUAGCAUAACUGUUCAUAUGAACUGAGGUCCAGAGCAUCUUUAUGGUGUUUAAGUGGAACCGUCCUCAGUAAUCUCAGUGAUCUUUAUACUGCACCAUGUGGGACAUCCUCAGCAGCAGCAUGUGACUCCAACUGAUGAGAACUCCAACCAGAAGAAGAGCAUCAGGACGGAUCAGGCAGGUCCGGAGAGCAGAAGGGGUCAGGAUCACUGGCAUCUCAGGAGUAUCAUAGAGAGAGAGAGAGAGAGAGAGAGAGAGAGAGAGAGAGAGAGAGAGAGAGAGAGAGAGAUCCCUUUUAGUUAUGCUAGCUAUGACAUCAUAACUAAAAGGGAGAACCAGAAGGGAACACAGACAUGAGGGAUCUCUGGGACAUAAGGUGACCAGCCUCUCCAUCAUCAACACACCUGGGUGAAGGUGUGAAAGGUGGGGGUGGGGGGUGACAGCAUCCAAACAUCCCAGUUCACCGCAACAGUCUCUACCUGUGAUCCUCUAGAUCUGCUCCUUUACCUAAGAACAAAACUAUUCACAGAAAGCUUGACUAAAAUUAAUCAGAUGAUCACAUGUGAAAUGCAGUGAUUUGUAUGUAAGGGAAGAAGUUUUCUAGUCAGG